UGCUAAGCCAUGAAACUUGAGAGUAUAUUGAAUAUCUUCGAAAUUAUCCCAACUCAUGUCGUUUUACUAUGAUUUAUUCAUUAAUUUGGUUUUAGGAUAUAAAUAGUCCCGGUUAAAGUGAACAAUUUACAGUUAGUGAUAUAUCGUUCGUAAAAAGCAAAGAACACUGCUUAUUAGGGGAAGGAGUGUUGGAACAUUGGAAAACUGGGGCACUCUUACAACGGGCUUUGUGGAAUUAGCAUCUGAAUAUUACAAGGUUUGGUUGCGAUAGAAGAGGAUACAGACAAUUAUAGACAGGGCAUUAACGACAACAACAUUGAUCCUGGUGACAGAGACUGAGAUUUGGCGAUACUUAUGCAAGGUUAAACGUAGAUCGGAUGCUCUCAACUGAAGACUGAAGUAACGCAUCAUCAGGAAGUGAAUACUGGUCAUCGAGAAACGUCAUAAAUUUUAAAAACAUUCAAGAACAGUCAGAAAUUUGAACUUUCAAGAAAAGUCAAAUUUCGAAAAGAAGGGUAAAGAAAUAUUUGAAAUUGUACUUCAGUCAAGCCUUGUCGGCCAUCAAUAUCAAUUUAUUUAUUGUGCCUUAUCACGAUGUCAUUGUCGUACUCAAACCAAACUGAUUUAAAACGACCAAAUUUAGUUGUUCAAGCCCAUGGCAGAUCCAGGGGGAUUAUUUAGGGACCAUCAAUAACAGAGUUUUCUUCCCAUAUGUUCUGCUCUGAAGAUCACUGGUCUUUGAUGGUAUAAGGCCAGUUUGGAUAACAAGGUAACAAAAUAAGAUGUUAAUUUCCAUUGCUAUUAUAAGCAGGUGCAGUAGAAAUAUACUAAUGCGAAUAUUCAAUCUUAAUUACGGUCUCGUUAUAACUGAAAUUCCAUUAUGGCGUCUUGCGCUAACUGACCGUGUCUCUUAUCUACAGUUCUGACUAGUUGCCUGACCUGAAUUCUACUGGGGUAACGGAAAAAUAACUUUUCACGUGCAGUUUUCAUACAUCUAUGGCUUACCGAUGUUUAGAUUUUUUAAAAUGCGCAGAAUGGUCUUGACUUUUGUGGUAAGCUUACGUCAAGUUUUUUUGACAGAAAUAAUGAUCCGUCCUCACGAAACAACAUCGGAACUAUCGCGUAAAAAAGCAAAAGCAUAAUAAAUUUACGUUCUUGAGUACCUUUACCUCCCCAUAUCAUCGAGCCAAUCAUAAGUUGCAAAAAAAAAAAAAGAAAAAAAAAUGUUUUGAAAAGCCCCGUCAGACCAAAACAAAAUUAACUUGAGAACUCCAUCGCGUACAUUUUGUACUAAUAUAUUUAACAAACUUCUUAUCGGACGCUAGUAGUAGACAGUUGUUGAAAGUACGGUGAAAUACCUGAAAUGGUAUUACGUACAGCACACUAUUAGCAACAUCCUUGCACAUUCACAAAAACAUCAUCCCUUAAUUUGGUCUCAUUAAUAAUUCUAAUUUCAAAGAUACGGUAAUAAUCGAGAUCCAAAAGUUGAAAUAACACCGAAGCAAUGUCAGCUAUUAGAGGGGUCCUUUCCAAACCCUGGAUCUGCCAUUUUAUGAUUUUUUCUUUUUUUAUAUAUAGGUAAUAUUGGCUUGAAUGAAUGAAGUCAGAUUUUGCAUGUAUUUACAUAUAAUAGGUUGAUGUACUGAAGUAUAAUAAGCUGGUUAUAUUUGGAAAGUAUUUGCUAGUUGCUUUUGGCUCUUCAUUAUUUUGAGGAUUGAAACAGAAUUUCUCCCUUGCUAACCAUCAAUUUAGUACUUUUCUGUUUUACCGUUCUUCCAUAUCGCCUUUUGACGCAUAUUUCAUUAAUUUUUAAAGAUUAUUAGCUUCACAAGUUAUAAGUCUUGGUUUUAGCAAAAGUGCGAAUGUCCAGAUUUUGUGCGGUUUUCAUUAAUUUGUUAAGGAUAUUAGAUUCAAGAGGUAUAAUUCUUGGUUUUAUGCAAAACUACUAAUGUCCAGAUUUUGCUCGAGAAUUUUGCUUAGGAACUUGAUAGCCUUCCAAAAUAAAUUAAACGUGUAUAC